rnacentral:rRNA from 1 species
CGAGUGAAGCGGCAAAAGCUCAAAUUUGAAAUCUGGCACCUUCGGUGUCCGAGUUGUAAUUUGAAGAAGGUAACUUUGGAGUCAGCUCUUGUCUAUGUUCCUUGGAACAGGACGUCACAGAGGGUGAGAAUCCCGUGCGAUGAGAUGUCUGAUUCUAUGUAAAGUGCUUUCGAAGAGUCGAGUUGUUUGGGAAUGCAGCUCUAAGUGGGUGGUAAAUUCCAUCUAAAGCUAAAUAUUGGCGAGAGACCGAUAGCGAACAAGUACAGUGAUGGAAAGAUGAAAAGAACUUUGAAAAGAGAGUGAAAAAGUACGUGAAAUUGUUGAAAGGGAAGGGUUUGAGAUCAGACUUGGUAUUUUGUAUGUCUUGCUUUCGGGUGGGGCCUCUACAGUUUACUGGGCCAGCAUCGGUUUGGACGGUAGGAUAAUGACAUUGGAAUGUGGCACCA